GGUAGAUAGUGUAUAAACUAAUUUGCAAACAAGAAAAUUCAGAUUGAGACAUGGGAACUGAAACUAAGCCAUCAAUUUGGCGAAUAAAACUUGCUCAGUGUUAUGCCUCUCAGUAGAUACAACAGCAAGAAACCUGCCAUUUUCUCACAUAAAUGUUUAAGAUGUAAAAUUAUGCAAAUGUUGGCGAUGAAUAUAUUGUGGCGGUGAGAGUGAGUUGCCGGUUCCCAAUACAAGUAAAUAAAUGCAUGUUGAGCAAAAUUGAUGAGAAAUUCAUAAUAUGUGUUCUAAUACAGGAGAAAUUAUAUAAUUUCUCCUAAUACAGG
rnacentral:misc_RNA from 1 species